UACGGGGGGUGCGAGCGUUGUCCGGAAUCACUGGGCGUAAAGGGCGCGUAGGUGGCCUGAUAAGGGUGUGGUGAAAGUCCGGGGCUCAACCUCGGAUCGGCCGUGGCGACUCGUGGGCUGGAGCACUGUAGAGGCGGGUGGAAUUCCGGGUGUAGCGGUGGAAUGCGUAGAGAUCCGGAAGAACACCAGUGGCGAAGGCGGCCCGCUGGGCAGUGGCUGACGCUGAAGCGCGACAGCGUGGGGAGCAAACAGG
rnacentral:rRNA from 1 species